rnacentral:rRNA from 1 species
GUGGGGAAUAUUGCACAAUGGGCGCAAGCCUGAUGCAGCCAUGCCGCGUGUGUGAAGAAGGCCUUCGGGUUGUAAAGCACUUUCAGCGGGGAGGAAGGCAAUACGGUUAAUAACCGUGUUGAUUGACGUUACCCGCAGAAGAAGCACCGGCUAACUCCGUGCCAGCAGCCGCGGUAAUACGGAGGGUGCAAGCGUUAAUCGGAAUUACUGGGCGUAACGCGCACGCAGGCGGGCUGUCAAGUCGGAUGUGAAAUCCCCGGGCUCAACCUGGGAACUGCAUUCGAAACUGGCAGGCUUGAGUCUUGUAGAGGGGGGUAGAAUUCCAGGUGUAGCGGUGAAAUGCGUAGAGAUCUGGAGGAAUACCGGUGGCGAAGGCGGCCCCCUGGACAAAGACUGACGCUCAGGUGCGAAAGCGUGGGGAGCAAACAGGAUUAGAUACCCGAGUAGUCC